UGGAGGACUGGGGGUUUUAGGUGUCCAAGAAGAAAGCUCAGACCUGCCGACCGCAGGACCCCCAUCGCGGAUCCUAAGAUCCUUAGGACCCAACUGGAGGACUGUGGGUAUUAGGUGCCCAAGAAGAAAGCUCAGAUCUGCCGACGUUACUUGGGAUUUACUAUCCGACAGGUGUCCGAACACAGCUCGAGAUCAGAAAGAAAGCAGGGGUCCGAACGCAGCCCGGGAUCAGGAAGAAAGCAGGUCGUUUGCAAUCUACCGGAGCCUAAGGGCAGAAGGCAGGAUCGUGGGAACAAUAUCCCAGGGGGGUUUCCACUUUCUGCCAUAUAUGUAGUCACAUCGCCCACUCCGCCUUGGAAUAUUAUUAAGGACCAUCUAACACGAGGGUGUAUACGUCCUGCGAUAUUACGAGUAAUAUCAACUUCUUGGCCUCUGAAUAUGAGGAAGAAUAUCACAGGGGGUCCGAAUGCAGCCCGGGAUCACAAAGAAAGCAGGUCGUUUGCAAUCUACCAGAGCCUAAGGGCAGAAGGCAGGAUCGUGGGAACAAUAUCCCAUGGGGGUGUACCCUUUCUGCCAUAUAUGUAGUCACAUCACCCACUCCGCCUUGGAAUAUUAUUAAGGACCAUCUAACACGAGGGUGUAUACGUCCUGUGAUAUUGGGAGUAAUAUCAACUUCUCGGCCUCUGAAUAUGAGGAAGAAUAUCACAGGGAUAUUAAUAACAAUUUCACAGGCUGGGUGAACACAGCCGGCGAUGCUGAAAUUAUUAUCAUCCUCUCCCCCUCUUCCCCUCCUGGCUCUCAGUCCCCGCCUCACGGGUUAUGUAGCGGGUUAUGGCAAGAAGACAAACUGCAGUUUCCUGCACAGAACAGCACAAACAAUGAUCCAAGCUCAGUUACAACACAAUAUUGGUCAUCAUUUGACCAUGGACUUCAAUAUCAACCCUUAGAAACCUUCCUAAAACAGGUCAGCAAAACACCAAGAAGCAAUAUCCUGAAUGAUAGGAAAAUAUCCUUGCUUGUGCAAAUUGUUUCCACUUAAUUUUUUUCAACAAAUGUUAAUUAUAUUUUUACUUUCUAAAAAUUUUUAAUAAAAUAUAGCCUACUUGGUUAAAAA